rnacentral:rRNA from 1 species
GACGAACGCUGGCGGCGUGCCUAACACAUGCAAGUGGAGCGACGAACCGGACUUCGGUCCGGGCAAAGCCGCGAACGGGUGAGUAACACGUGGGUAACCUGCCCCGAUGAUUGGGACGAACCCGAACGGAAACGUACGGGCGUAAUACCGAAUGUGCCCUACGGUCGCAAGACCGCUGGGAAAGGAAGCUUCGGCCUCCGCAUCGGGAUGGGCCC